rnacentral:rRNA from 1 species
GACGAACGCUGGCGGCGUGCUUAACACAUGCAAGUCGAACGCUGAAGCUCAGCUUUUGUUGGGUGGAUGAGUGGCGAACGGGUGAGUAACACGUGAGUAACCUGCCUCCUUCUUUGGGAUAACGCCCGGAAACGGGUGCUAAUACUGGAUAUUCACUGGUCUUCGCAUGGGGGUUGGUGGAAAGGGUUUUUCUGGUGGGGGAUGGGCUCGCGGCCUAUCAGCUUGUUGGUGGGGUGAUGGCCUACCAAGGCUUUGACGGGUAGCCGGCCUGAGAGGGUGACCGGUCACAUUGGGACUGAGAUACGGCCCAGACUCCUACGGGAGGCAGCAGUGGGGAAGAUUGCACAAUGGGCGCAAGCCUGAUGCAGCGACGCCGCGUGAGGGGUGGAGGCCUUCGGGUUGUGAACCUCUUUCGCUCAUGGUCAAGCCGCAACAAUGGUUGUGGUGAGGGUAGUGGGUAAAGAAGCGCCGGCUAACUACGUG